AUUGGACAAUGGGGGGAACCCUGAUCCAGCGACGCCGCGUGAGUGAAGAAGUAUUUCGGUAUGUAAAGCUCUAUCAGCAGGGAAGAAAGAAAUGACGGUACUUGACUAAGAAGCCCUGGCUAACUACGUGCCAGCAGCCGCGGUAAUACGUAGGGGGCAAGCGUUAGCCGGAUUUACUGGGUGUAAAAGGAACGUAGACGGCGAUGCAAGUCUGAAGUGAAAGGCGGGGGCCCAACCCCCGGACUGCUUUGGAAACUGUAUAGCUGGAGUGCAGGAGAGGUAAGUGGAAUUCCUAGUGUAGCGGUGAAAUGCGUAGAUAUUAGAAGGAACACCAGUGGUGAAGGCGGCUUACUGGACUGUAACUGACGUUGAGGCUCGAAAGCGUGGGGAGCAAACAG
rnacentral:rRNA from 1 species